CAUGUGGUUUAAUUCGAUGAUACGCGAGGAACCUUACCUGGGCUUAAAUGGGGAGUGACAGCUGUCGAAAGAUGGUUUUCUUCGGACACUCUUCAAGGUGCUGCAUGGUUGUCGUCAGCUCGUGCCGUGAGGUGUCGGGUUAAGUCCCAUAACGAGCGCAACCCUUACCGUUAGUUACCAUCAGGUUAAGCUGGGGACUCUAGCGGGACUGCCACCGUAAGGUGAGAGGAAGGUGGGGAUGACGUCAAAUCAGCACGGCCCUUAUGUCCAGGGCUACACACGUGCUACAAUGGGCGGUACAAAGAGAAGCAACCUCGCGAGGGUGAGCAAAUCUCAAAAAGCCGUUCUCAGUUCGGAUUGAAGUCUGCAACUCGACUUCAUGAAGUCGGAAUCGCUAGUAAUCGCGGAUCAGCAUGCCGCGGUGAAUACGUUCCCGGGCCUU
rnacentral:rRNA from 1 species